AUCCAGCUGACGAUUCCCAAAUAGGACGAAACGCGCGUCCUGGGU
rnacentral:hammerhead_ribozyme from 1 species